GCCAGACUCCUACGGGAGGCAGCAGUGGGGAAUAUUGCACAAUGGGGGAAACCCUGAUGCAGCGACGCCGCGUGAGCGAUGAAGUAUUUCGGUAUGUAAAGCUCUAUCAGCAGGGAAGAAAAUGACGGUACCUGACUAAGAAGCCCCGGCUAACUACGUGCCAGCAGCCGCGGUAAUACGUAGGGGGCAAGCGUUAUCCGGAUUUACUGGGUGUAAAGGGAGCGUAGACGGUCCUGCAAGCCAGAUGUGAAAGCCCGGGGCUCAACCCCGGGACUGCAUUUGGAACUGUCAGGCUGGAGUGCCGGAGGGGUAAGCGGAAUUCCUGGUGUAGCGGUGAAAUGCGUAGAUAUCAGGAGGAACACCGGCGGCGAAGGCGGCUUACUGGACGGCAACUGACGUUGAGGCCCGAAAGCGUGGGGAGCGAACAGGAUUAGAUACCCGGGUAUA
rnacentral:rRNA from 1 species